rnacentral:lncRNA from 1 species
GUCUAAAUGACAUGCUUAAAUGGGUCCUAUACAUUUUACUGUGUUACUAAUCUUCUCAUUUUUGAUUUAGUUCACAUUCGAAAUGAGAAAUUAAGUUAGAAUAAAAACAUUUGUAAAAACAGUUUACCUGUUGGUGGAGUGUAGGUCUUUAAAAGAGCUAGAGCUGGUAGGCUACCAUUAACUGAAAAUAUUCAGGAGGAGAAUAUUUAAAGCCCUAAAAGGAAAAAAAAUGUCCAAAAUUUGACCCAAGAAUUAAAAUCCUGAGGAUGAGAAAUCAGGCGAAUAUUCUUUUUUUUUUUUUUUUUUGAAUCAUAUGAUCUUGUUUGGAAUGUCUCUUAGAAAAUUUCUCUUCAAUAGGCCAAAGUGACUGAACCUUAAACAAUUCAUCUGAAAAAGGACUUGCCAAGAUUCUAGCAUUUUAAAAUAAAAUCUAAUUCACUAUCAUAAUUUUUCCAUAUUUUAAAAUGGUACUCUCUGUCACUAUGAAUAAACAUGCAGGGUUAAAAUGAUCUAUGAGAACUCACUCAUGAAUCUGCAUAUAUAUUCUUGGUGGUUUAAGAGAUAUUUUUAUAAGUGUUACAUUUUUAUGUAUGUUUAUUUUAAUCACAGUCUAAAAAGUGACUAUUCAAUAACAUUUGGAUGACUUUUUAACAACCAAACAUCCCAUGUUAACCUAGUGUUUCUAUUUAUACUUAGGACAACAUGAGAGCCAAGCAGUUCUGUUUUGAUUGUUAAAAGCAACUGAACAGAGGCAGCAGAUGAUGCAUUUGGGUUCUGGCCUCAGGAUUCAGAGACUGCUCUGCUGUGAGGAGUCCUUCUGCACUGCCAGAUUUUUUUCACCCUUUUUUUCCCGGGUGCAAGACCAGCCACCUCCUUCUACACUCUUUUCUUCCCUACUCUCCCGAAACUCAGAUUCCAUCAAUUAAAAACCCAUUUAGUUAAUGUUCCCGCUUAUCUUUCCUUUCUUUUUUUUUCUUUUAUUUUCUUACUGAAUUAAGUUAUUGCUAUAUUUAUUGUAAUGUUUCAAGGGUCAGAUCAUCCAUUGCCUCAAACCCACUGAUAUCCCAGACACCAGAAAACAGUACCCACCUCUCACCAAAAGAUACUAAAGCAUGCUGUUCUUCAGAGAAAAGACUCAGCCUAACUAAUUUCUCUAGAUCCGAUACUACUGUGCAUAGCUGGUGGGAAAUACUUGUUAACUGAGUGUUUACAUGACUGAUGACUAAAUAAAAGUACAUGAGUGGGAAACA